AUUGAACGCUGGCGGCAUGCCUAACACAUGCAAGUCGAACGGGGGCAGCAAUGCCCUAGUGGCGGACGGGUGAGGAAUACGUAGGAACCGGCCCACGAGUGGGGGACAACCUGGGGAAACCCAGGCUAAUACCGCAUACGCUCGCGAGAGGAAAGCGGGGGACCUUCGGGCCUCGCGCUGGUGGACGGGCCUACGUCCGAUUAGCUUGUUGGUGGGGUAAAAGCCUACCAAGGCGACGAUCGGUAGCUGGUCUGAGAGGAUGAUCAGCCACACUGGGACUGAGACACGGCCCAGACUCCUACGGGAGGCAGCAGUGGGGAAUAUUGGACAAUGGGCGCAAGCCUGAUCCAGCAAUGCCGCGUGGGGUGAAGAAGGCCUGCGGGUUGUAAAGCCCUUUAAGCGGGGAGGAAAGCCGGGGGGUGAAUAGCGCCUCGGGGUGACGUUACCCGCAGAAUAAGCACCGGCUAACUCCGUGCCAGCAGCCGCGGUAAU
rnacentral:rRNA from 1 species